GCCUAAAGAGAAGCUUGCGGCUGAUUAGCUUGUUGGUGAGGUAAUGGCUCACCAAGGCGACGAUCAGUAUCUGGUUUGAGAGGAUGAUCAGACACACUGGAACUGAGACACGGUCCAGACUCCUACGGGAGGCAGCAGUGGGGAAUUUUCCGCAAUGGGCGAAAGCCUGACGGAGCAAUCUCGCGUGAGGGAUGACGGCCUAUGGGUUGUAAACCUCUUUUUUCAGGGAGGAACAAAAUGACGUGUACCUGAAGAAUAAGCAUCGGCUAACUCCGUGCCAGCAGCCGCGGUAAGACGGAGGAUGCAAGUGUUAUCCGGAAUCACUGGGCGUAAAGCGUCUGUAGGUGGUUUGAUAAGUCAACUGUUAAAUCUUGAAGCUCAACUUCAAAAUCGCAGUCGAAACUAUUAGACUAGAGUAUAGUAGGGGUAAAGGGAAUUCCCAGUGGAGCGGUGAAAUGCGUAGAUAUUG
rnacentral:rRNA from 1 species